ensembl:lncRNA
GGGGCAUAAAAUUACCAGGAAAAUAAUUUUCAUCUUUCCUUACUGGUGCUCUUGAUCAAGUCAUUGCUAAUAUGGCCAGUGAGCAGGGAGUUAAUCACCUGUACACAUGGCAGUGUUUCAUUAGCUUAUGAAAACUCAUCAUAUCCAACACAUAACCCACAUUUGUUAAGCACCUGCUGUGUGGGGCUUACCUGGGGAUCUUCCUGACCCAGGGAUCAAAUCCAUUUCUUCUGCAUUGGCAAGUGUAUUCUUUAUGACUGAGCCACAUGGGAAGCCCUAAUGUAAUAAUAAGUAAACAACUUAGUUUGGGGAUAUUUUUUGAAAGCUUAAUUGUGGGAAAAUUUUAAUAUAUACAGAAAUAUAGAGGAGAGUAUAAUAUAUUCCCAUGUACCAUCACCAGAUAUUACCAAAGCAUGGCAUCUUAUUUCAUCUGUAACCACACUCAUUCUUUUUGUAUUAUUUUACAGACAAUUCUUGAUAAUGUUACAGUAUUUCAUCUGGGAAUAUUUCAGUAUGUAUGGGAUAUGUUUUUAAUCUUUUGAAUAUAGAUCUCUUGGUAUUCUGGGAAGUCAUUAUACUUCAGACAAAAUAAUGAUGCCUCACUGAAGGCUUGGCUCCAGAAAACUGGCAGCCUCUCCCACUGGGGGUAGUCUUCAUCCCCUUCCCAGCUGUUCCAAGACCAUCAAGUCCACUGAGCCCAUAUCCCUGAGCUUCAUUUAUCUGUAUGCCCUGGAGAGAGUUGUGCUGUUUUAUUUAGAUUCUGUUAGAUGGAGGUGUAAGGGAGAAAAGAAUCGGUGACCAUAUUAGUAAGGAAAAUAGUUGUUAGAGAAAGGAAGAUACUCUAUGUAUAAGGAUAAAUAGCUUGUAAAAAGUUUAUCCACAAGAAACCUUUAAAAGUUCUUGGAAUCUUUGUCAUUUUUAUUUUCUCAAGAUUAUAUUGGAAGCUUCCUUUUAAUUAUGGAUUAUUAUAAAGUUAGGAAAAUGUAAAGAACAUUCAUGUACCUGAUGCACAAAUCUUAACUUUUGGUCUGUUGCCUG